GACGGCCAGAGCGGCGGGGAUACACCCGGUCCCAUCUGAACCCGGAAGUUAAGUCCGCCUGCGUUUCAUGUUGUACUGCGGUGCGCGAGCCCGCGGGAACCAUGAGACGCUGU
rnacentral:rRNA from 1 species